rnacentral:rRNA from 1 species
UACAGAGGUCUCAAGCGUUUGUUUCGGAUUCAUUGGGCGUAAAGGGUGCGUAGGCGGCGCGGUAAGUCGGGUGUGAAAUCUCGGGAGCUUAACUCCGAAACUGCAUUCGGAUACUGCCGUGCUUGAGGACUGGAGAGGAGACUGGAAAUUUACGGUGUAGCGGUGAAAUGCGCAGAUAUCGGGAAGAACACCCGUGGCGAAGGCGGCUCUCUGGGACGGUACUGGACGCUGAGACGGCGAAAAG